UACGCAGGGUGCUAGCGUUGUUCGGAAUCACUGGGCGUAAAGCGCGCGUAGGCGGCGUAUCACGUCAGGGGUGAAAUCCUUGGGCUCAACCCAAGAAUUGCCUUUGAAACUGUUACGCUGGAGUAUUGGAGGGGAUAGCGGAAUUGCUAAUGUAGAGGUGAAAUUCGUAGAUAUUAGCAGGAACACCGGUGGCGAAGGCGGCUAUCUGGCCAAUCACUGACGCUGAGGCGCGAAAGCACGGGGAUCAAACAGG
rnacentral:rRNA from 1 species